rnacentral:rRNA from 1 species
CAAUGCAGGAAACUGUGAUAAGGGAACCCCGAGUGCCCGUAAACGCGGGCUGUCCCGGUGUUUAAAACACAUCGGAAGAAAGGGCCGGGCAAGACCGGUGCCAGCCGCCGCGGUAAUACCGGCGGCUCGAGUGGUGACCACUUUUAUUGGGCUUAAAGCGUUCGUAGCUUGAUUUUUAAGUCUCUUGGGAAAUCUCACGGCUUAACUGUGAGGCGUCUAAGAGAUACUGGGAAUCUAGGGACCGGGAGAGGUAAGAGGUACUUCAGGGGUAGAAGUGAAAUUCUGUAAUCCUUGAGGGACCACCGAUGGCGAAGGCAUCUUACCAGAACGGCUUCGACAGUGAGGAACGAAAGCUGGGGGAGCGAACGGGAUU